AAUAGAUACCCCGGUAGUCCACGCUGUAAACGAUGAGUGCUAGGUGUUGGGGGUUCCACCCUCAGUGCUGAAGUUAACACAUUAAGCACUCCGCCUGGGGAGUACGACCGCAAGGUUGAAACUCAAAGGAAUUGACGGGGGCCCGCACAAGCAGUGGAGCAUGUGGUUUAAUUCGAAGCAACGCGAAGAACCUUACCAGGUCUUGACAUCCUUUGACCACUCUAGAGAUAGAGCUUUCCCCUUCGGGGGACAAAGUGACAGGUGGUGCAUGGUUGUCGUCAGCUCGUGUCGUGAGAUGUUGGGUUAAGUCCCGCAACGAGCGCAACCCUUGACCUUAGUUGCCAGCAUUCAGUUGGGCACUCUAAGGUGACUGCCGGUGACAAACCGGAGGAAGGUGGGGAUGACGUCAAAUCAUCAUGCCCCUUAUGACCUGGGCUACACACGUGCUACAAUGGAUGAUACAAAGGGUUGCGAAGCCGCGAGGCCAAGCCAAUCCCAAAAAGUCAUUCUCAGUUCGGAUUGUAGGCUGCAACUCG
rnacentral:rRNA from 1 species